CCAUAAUAGGGCCCCAACUUGAGAGGAAGAGCCUAAAAUUGAGUAGUUUCUUUAAAUUGGUCAGAGCAUUUUUGAAAUUGAGAGCCCCUUACUGUACCUCCACAUGCAGUCUAGCUAAGGUCUAGUUGGGUCUAGCUUAAAAAUAAUGUCAUGGGGCCCCCAGGGAAGAUUUGUCCGAGGCCCUACAUAUUCUCUCGGUGGCCCUGUCCACACCGCAGGGUGAUCUUGCGACAUCAAAAUCCUCCCCGUCGGGCAAGCAAAGUUGUUCAAAUCUCUACCCCUUGCCUCCCCAGGCUUAACAUUGAAAGGUGCAUUAGUUGGUUAGAGUGCUACACUGGAAUUGCAGGGCCACAGGUUCGAUUCCUGGAAGAGGACCUAGUGUUCGCAACCGUUCC